rfam:Candidatus Puniceispirillum marinum IMCC1322, complete genome.
AUGGCUGACGCUAAAAUGCCUGAUGCACAAUCAGGCUAUGAAAAAGGCAGCACAUUGGUCAUGGCAGGCCUAUCAGGGCUGAAUAUGGUUUAUGAAGCGG